UAUUCGGAGUGUUCAUUUCACCACCAAUUACUUCGAUCCACAAAUCACUCAUCAGGUUUACAUGAAUGGAUCGGACGUUGAAAAUUUUGGAUCGAACACAUUGAUUUGAUGGAAUUGACAUCUCAGAUUCCAAAUAUGAGUCCCGUCCUUCCAUUUAUUUUGAUUUAAUCCUCUCCCAGUUUCACUCCCCAUCACAAUCAUCGAUCGCGAAAUUUUCACGACAGGGAAUUGAAAUUGAACGAUUCCUUCUCAUUUCCAUGAUUUCUCAGAAGAAAAUGCCGACCCUCUCCAGGUUCUGGAAUGGAAUUUUGUCAGAAUUCAUGGAAUCAUUUGGCUGCCUCAGUUAGAUAGACUAGAUUGUUGAUGGCAUUGGAAUCAAUUGGGAUAAUGAAAAUUUGGGAGUUAAAACAGUCGAUUUCUUCUGUUAUGGCAUUAUCUUAGAGAUGAACCUUAUCUUGUCACCUGUGAUAUACAUGUGGGAUCGAAACCCAUUUGAGUUUUUUCUUUCUUUUUCACUUUCAUUGUCUCUCAUAAGUCAUUUCAACUUGUAAAAGCACUCUCAGGGAUUGCCAUUGGCUGUGUGGGGAAGAAGAGAACCUGGGUCAGAUAAUAUAAUGAACAUAAUUGUGCUUAGACCAGAAAGUGAAUGAGGAA